rnacentral:lncRNA from 1 species
CUCUCCCUCUCCCUCUCCCUCUCCCUCUCCCUCUCCCUCUCCCUCCACGGUCUCCCUCUGAUGCCGAGCCAAGGCUGGACGGUACUGCUGCCAUCUCGGCUCACUGCAACCUCCCUGCCUGAUUCUCCUGCCUCAGCCUGCCGAGUGCCUGCGAUUGCAGGCGCGCACCGCCACGCCUGACUGGUUUUCGGUUUUUUUUGGUGGAGACGGGGUUUCGCUGUGUUGGCCGGGCUGGUCUCCAGCUCCUAGCCGCGAGUGAUCCGCCAGCCUCGGCCUCCCGAGGUGCCGGGAUUGCAGAUGGAGUCUCGUUCACUCAGUGCUCAAUGGUGCCCAGGCUGGAGUGCAGUGGCGUGAUCUCGGCUCGCUGCAACCACCUCCCAGCCGCCUGCCUUGGCCUCCCGGAGAGCCGAGAUUGCAGCCUCUGCCCAGCAGCCACCCCGUCUGGGAAGUGAGGAGCGUCUCUGCUUGGCCACCCAUCGUCUGGGAUGUGAGGAGCCCCUCUGCCUGGCUGCCCAGUCUGGAAAGUGAGGAGCGUCUCUGCCCGGCCGCCAUCCCAUCUGGGAAGCGAGGAGCGCCUCUUCCCCGCCGCCAUCCCAUCUAGGAAGUGAGGAGCGUCUCUGCCCGGCCGCCCAUCGUCUGAGAUGUGGGGAGCACCUCUGCCCCGCCGCCCUGUCUGGGAUGUGAGGAGUGCCUCUGCUGGGCCGCAGCCCUGUCUGGGAGGUGGGGAGCGUCUCUGCCCGGCCGCUCCGUCUGAGAAGUGAGGAAACCCUCUGCCUGGCAACCGCCCCGUCUGAGAAGUGAGGAGCCCCUCCGUCCGGCAACCACCCCGUCUGGGAAAUGAGGAGCGUCUCCGCCCAGCAGCCACCCCGUCCGGGAGGGAGGUGGGGGGGGUCAGCCCCCCGCCCGGCCAGCCACCCCGUCCGGGAGGUGAGGGGCUCCUCUGCCCGGCCGCCCCUACUGGGAAGUGAGGAGCCCCUCUGCCCGGCCAGCCGCCCCAUCCGGGAGGGAGGCGGUGGGGGGGGGGGUCGGCCAGCCGCCCCGUCCGGGAGGGAGGUGGGGGGGUCAGCCCCCCGCCCGGCCAGCCGCCCCGUCUGGGAGGUGAGGGGCUCCUCUGCCCGGCCGCCCCUACUGGGAAGUGAGGAGCCCCUCUGCCCGGCCAGACGCCCCGUCCAGGAGGGAGGUGGGGGGUCAGCCCCCCGCCCGGCCAGCCGCCCCGUCUGGGAGGGAGGUGGGGGGAUCAGCCCCCCGCCUGGCCAGCCGCCCCAUCCGGGAGGUGAGGGGCGCCUCUGCCCGGCCGCCCCUACUGGGAAGUGAGGAGCCCCUCUGCCCGGCCAGCCGCCCCGCCCGGGAGGGAGGUGGGGGGGUCAUCCCCCCACCUGGCCAGCCGCCCCAUCCGGGAGGGAGGUGGGGGGAUCAGCCCCCCGCCUGGCCAGUCGCCCCGUCCGGGAGGUGAGGGGCGCCUCUGCCCGGCCGCCCCUACUGGAAAGUGAGGAGCCCCUCUGUCCGGCCAGCCGCCCCGUCCGGGAGGGAGGCGGUGGGGGGGGUCGGCCAGCCGCCCCGUCCGGGAGGGAGGUGGGGGGGGUCAGCCCCCCUUCCGGCCGGCCGCCCCGUCCGGGAGGUGAGGGGCGCCUCUGCCCGGCCGCCCCUACUGGGAAGUGAGGACCCCUCUGCCCGGCCAGCCGCCCCGUCCGGGAGGGAGGUGGGGGGGACAGCCCCCCGCCCAGCCAGCCGCCCUAUCCAGGAGGUGAGGGGCGCCUCUGCCCGGCCGCCCCUACUGGGAAGUGAGGAGCCCCUCUGCCUGGCCAGCCGCCCCGUCCGGGAGGGUGGUGGGGGGGUCAGCCCCCGCCCGGCCAGCCGCCCCAUCCGGGAGGUGAGGGGCGCUUCUGCCCGGCCGCCCCUACUGGGAAGUGAGGAGCCCCUCUGCCCGGCCACGACCCCGUCUGGGAGGUGUGCCCAGCGGCUCAUUGGGGAUGGGCCAUGAUGACAAUGGCGGUUUUGUGGAAUAGAAAGGCGGGAAGGGUGGGGAAAAAAUUGAGAAAUCGGAUGGUUGCCGGGUCUGUGUGGAUAGAAGUAGACAUGGGAGACUUUUCAUUUUGUUCUGUACUAAGAAAAAUUCUUCUGCCUUGGGAUCCUGUUGAUCUGUGACCUUAUCCCCAACCCUGUGCUCUCUGAAACAUGUGCUGUGUCCACUCAGGGUUAAAUGGAUUAAGGGUGGUGCAAGAUGUGCUUUGUUAAACAGAUGCUUGAAGGCAGCAUGCUCGUUAAGAGUCAUCACCACUCCCUAAUCUUAAGUACCCAGGGACACAAACACUGCGGAAGGCCAAGGCCGCAGGGUCCUCUGCCUAGGAAAACCAGAGACCUUUGUUCACUUGUUUAUCUGCUGACCUUCC